rnacentral:rRNA from 1 species
AGUUUACUACACCGUAUUCUGUGAGUUGCGAACGGGUGAGUAACGCGUAGGUAACCUGCCUGGUAGCGGGGGAUAACUAUUGGAAACGAUAGCUAAUACCGCAUAAGAACAUUUACUGCAUGGUAGAUGUUUAAAAGGUGCAAAAGCAUCACUACCAGAUGGACCUGCGUUGUAUUAGCUAGUUGGUGAGGUAACGGCUCACCAAGGCAACGAUACAUAGCCGACCUGAGAGGGUGAUCGGCCACACUGGGACUGAGACACGGCCCAGACUCCUACGGGAGGCAGCAGUAGGGAAUCUUCGGCAAUGGGGGGAACCCUGACCGAGCAACGCCGCGUGAGUGAAGAAGGUUUUCGGAUCGUAAAGCUCUGUUGUUAAGGAAGAACGUGUGUGAGAGUGGAAAGUUCACACAGUGACGGUACUUAACCAGAAAGGGACGGCUAACUACGUGCCAGCAGCCGCGGUAAUACGUAGGUCCCGAGCGUUGUCCGGAUUUAUUGGGCGUAAGGCGAGCGCAGGCGGUUAGAUAAGUCUGAAGUGCGAAGGCAGUGGCUCAACCAUUGUAGGCUUUGGAAACUGUUUAACUUGAGUGCAGAAGGGGAGAGUGGAAUUCCAUGUGUAGCGGUGAAAUGCGUAGAUAUAUGGAGGAACACCGGUGGCGAAAGCGGCUCUCUGGUCUGUAACUGACGCUGAGGCUCGAAAGCGUGGGGAGCGAACAGGAUUAGAUACCCUGGUAGUCCACGCCGUAAACGAUGAGUGC